UUGACCUCAAAUCAGGUAAGGAUACCCGCUGAACUUAAGCAUAUCAAUAAGCGGAGGAAAAGAAACCCAACAGGGAUUGUCUUAGUAACGGCGAGUGAAGCGGCAAAAGCUCAAAUUUGAAAGCUAGCACCUUCGGUGUUCGCGUUGAAAUUGAAGAUAGUUUCCUUGAUAGUCCUUUAUCUAUGUUCCUUGGAACAGGACGUAUAAAGGGGAGAACCCCGAUGAUUUGGAUACUACUCUUGUGGGAUCCAUCCAAAAAGUC
rnacentral:rRNA from 1 species